AUUGAACGCUGGCGGCAUGCCUAACACAUGCAAGUCGAACGGCAGCACGGCAGUAGCAAUACUGUGGGUGGCGAGUGGCGGACGGGUGAGGAAUACGUCGGAAUCUGCCCAGUCGUGGGGGAUAACUAGCCGAAAGGUUAGCUAAUACCGCAUACGACCGAGAGGUGAAAGCGGGGGACCGCAAGGCCUCGCGCGAUUGGAUGAGCCGACGUCGGAUUAGCUAGUUGGUGGGGUAAAGGCCCACCAAGGCGACGAUCCGUAGCUGGUCUGAGAGGAUGAUCAGCCACACUGGAACUGAGACACGGUCCAGACUCCUACGGGAGGCAGCAGUGGGGAAUAUUGGACAAUGGGCGCAAGCCUGAUCCAGCAAUGCCGCGUGUGUGAAGAAGGCCUUCGGGUUGUAAAGCACUUUUAUCAGGAACGAAAAGCGUUGGAUUAAUACCCUGACGUGCUGACGGUACCUGAGGAAUAAGCACCGGCUAACUUCGUG
rnacentral:rRNA from 1 species